GAUGAAGAACGUAGCGAAAUGCGAUACGUAAUGUGAAUUGCAGAAUUCAGUGAAUCAUCGAAUCUUUGAACGCAUAUUGCGCUCUCUGGUAUUCCGGAGAGCAUGCUUGUUUGAGUAUCAGUAAACACCUCAACUUCCAUAUCUUUUUUGAAAUGGGAGUUGGACUUGAGUGAUCCCAACGCUUUUCCUCACCGAAAAGUGGCGGGUUACUUGAAAUGCAGGUGCAGCUGGACUUUUCUCUGAGCUAUAAGCAUAUCUAUUUAGUCUGCCUAAAAAACAGAUUAUUACCUUUGCUGCAGCUAACAUAAAGGAGAUUAGUUCUUGUGCUGACUGAUGCAGGAUUCACAAAGACAGGCUUCGGCCGACUUUGUAAACUCGAUCUCAAAUCAAGUAAGACUACCCGCUGAACUUAAGCAUAUCAAUAAGCGGAGA
rnacentral:misc_RNA from 1 species